ACAUAUGGCUAUCCAUGGAUUACAUGGUUCAGGCCGUAACUUGGUAAACAGUGUUAUUUUUUUUUUUGUGAUUAUAUUUUAGAAUACUGGACAUAUUAAGCUACCGGAGUGAAGCUGUAAUAUGGUCUCACAGCUUUAUAAUACAGGCCUUAUUCUUCCAUGAAACAACUUUGCAGUUCAAUUUGUUCUGCGUAUGGUCUGCAAACUGAAGACACCGGAGGAUUUUUUUUUUCUCAGUAUAACUGGGAAAAAAAAGUCUAAAGUCAUUAAUGGAAUCCUGUGAAACAGGACUACACCCUCUCUGCAGCUGCUGUAUCUGCAGAGGAGCUGAAGGAUGGUCGCAGUGCAGCACCACACCACAAGAUGGCAAGAACCAGAAGCUGACCUCAAACCAGAAUUCAGAUAGAACAAUGAAAUUACAUUAAAACUUGAGAUUCCAAACUACCAAACAU
rnacentral:lncRNA from 1 species